AACGCGAAGAACCUUACCUACCCUUGAAUCCCUGGAAUUUGGUAGAGAUAUCAAAGUGCCUUCGGGAACCAGGAGACAGGUGCUGCAUGGCUGUCGUCAGCUCGUGUCGUGAGAUGUUGGGUUAAGUCCCGUAACGAGCGCAACCCUUGUCCUUAGUUGCUAACAGGUAAAGCUGAGAACUCUAGGGAGACUGCCGGUGAUAAACCGGAGGAAGGCAGGGACGACGUCAAGUCAUCAUGGCCCUUACGGGUAGGGCUACACACGUGCUACAAUGGCCGGUACAAAAGGUUGCGAAGUCGCGAGAUGGAGCUAAUCCUAUAAAGCCGGUCUUAGUCCGGAUUGGAGUCUGCAACUCGACUCCAUGAAGCUGGAAUCGCUAGUAAUCGUGGAUCAGCACGCCACGGUGAAUACGUUCCCGGGCCUUGUACACACCGGAGUA
rnacentral:rRNA from 1 species